CUGAGGUGUCCCAGGGAAUGCGGAGACAUGCCGGGAAUGCUGAGAUAUUCCAGGAAUGGGGAGACAUCCCGGGAAUGCUGAGAUAUCCUGGGAAUACUGAGACAUCCCGGGGAAUGCUGAGGUGUCCCAGGAAAAGCUGAGGUGUCCCAGGGAAUGCUGAGGUGUCCCAGGAAAAGCUGAGGUGUCCCAGGGAAUGCCGAGGCAUUCCCUGCCCGGGGCACUCGGCAGCACGUCCUUGAUGUGGUGUAGAAAAGGAAAGUCCUGGGUUAGUGUGAGGAUGUUUCUGGAAUGGAAUUGGGAUAGGUGCUGAUCAUCCCAUGGAAUCACGGGGGGUUUGGCUUGGAAGGGACCACAAAGAUCGUUUACAGGCUGUUGUCUGAUUCCAGAGCAAAGAACAUCCCAAAGUGCCUCCUGACCCUCACGGGCAGCAGGAAUGUCUUCCACAGCUCCUGUUUAGGAAUGGCAAUGGCUGUUGGGAGCUCCGGCAGCAGCACCUGGAGACCAGGGAGACAUUUAAACAAGAGGUGUCAAAAAGAACUAGAGCUUCUGAACAGAGAAAUCUGCAAGAAUCCAACUUAAAAUCCCCCCUGGAUUGUCAGAGGCUCAACUUCCAUCUCUGGUCACCUCGGCCAGGAGCAUCCAAUCCUGCUGGGAAUGCACUGGACCAGGAUGUCACCUUCAUUUUAUGCAGCUCCGUAAUUAUUCUCCACGGCAACACGGAGGAGCAGCCAGUGCCUCCCUUAGUCCACAGAUCUCCAGGAUGGACCACAGAGAAAAUAACAGGAAUAUGGAAAUCCCCCACUCUGGGAGUUUGUGGUGCUCUGGAUUACAUUUUGGAUUUAUGAUGUUAAAGGGGGGGUGUGGGGGGAGGUCCUCUCUCUCCUGUUCAUUAUUGUUCUCACUGCUCUUGAUGCUCUCACUGUCAUUAUGUGUUGUUAUUAAUAUUAAA